rnacentral:lncRNA from 1 species
GCACUCCAGCUCUCGGCGCGGGUGAGCGGAAGUGCAGUGAGGCCGAGCCUGCGAGCCCUAAUGGACGUGGUCCUGGGGAUGCAGAGGGUUUGUAGGAGAGCGCGCGGGGCCCACGGCUCCUCCAGGGCUCUCGGGAUAGCGACUGCCCGCUUUCUACACACCCGGCGGCGCAAGGGGCGGAAGGACACCCAUCCCCGUAUCCAGCCACACAUUCUGUCGAGGCGGCCGCGGGUACGAGGCAGAGACAGGCACAGCCAUUGCCGGGUCACAGAGUCGCCUGGGCGCUCUCUGCACAGCUCUGGAAGUCUCUCCGGUCUCACGGCCGUCACAAUCUCCCCGGACGACACAGAGAGAAGCUGAUGUUCCUGUCAGCGGCCUCCCACGCGUCGUACCCUCACUUGUAAACACGAGCUCUGGCUGCUUCUCUGGUCUUGGGAGGACUGGUCAUCAUGGGACCAGUUUCCAAAAUUCUUUCCUGCUCAGGGGUGUGCUCCGAAGCCCCAUGUGUCAUGAAAGGGCAAGGUUCAGAGUGACAGCUCGAGGAAGGAACCCUGACCUUUUUUCAUUGCGUGAAUGCAACCAGAAUAGCUGGGAUAGAAUCUAGAAAUCAAGUCGCCCUGCCAUCGAAGCCGAAAAACCCAUAUUACCUUGGCCGCUGCUAUCAUUUUCCAAGUCAGCCUUUCACUUAGCACCUCACACAAACCCCUAGACUUCUAAUGAAUAGUUGCUACUCUUUAAAGCACAGGAAGCCAUUGAACCACUCUCCCACCUAUAUCCACUAGAGGGCAGAACUACACCUAUGGCCAGUUACGGAGCAUCCUCUGAAGACCCCCUCCCUCCCCUUCUGCUCCAAAGAAAAAGCCUCUACAGGUAUUUUUUCCUCCGUGACCAAAUAACCGUAACAAAAUUGCUCUUUUAUAUUGGGUCCUAUAACAUGCUUUCAAACACACGUUCUACAUAAUGGACCGAGUUGCCUGCCUUCCUGUGUUGGGUGCCUGUUAAGCUUGUUUAGGAUCAAAAUUUCUGGACAGCUUCUGGGUUGACAUACACACGUCUUCUAUUUUGAAAAAUGAGCUUUUGCCAGGCAUAGUAGUUCAUGCCACUCAUGGGAAACAGAAGCAGAGGAUGGCCGCAAUUUCCAGGCCAGGCUAGUGUAGAAAUCUAUAAUUCAUCUCCACUUUGGUAUGUAUAAUGAUGUUUUAUAUGCCCCGUGGCAUAAGCUUGUGGCUUCUAUAAUAAAAUUGCUGUCUCGUGCUCAGUUUUAAAAUUAGUUUGUAGUAGUUAUUACUUAACAGAAUAUUAAUGUUACAACAAGCACAAUUUAAAACACAAAGUUUACAAGGUAGAUCACAUUAUAUAAGCACUUAGAAUUCAUAUGUAGACUUCUGGAAAACGUAAUUUUAUUGUUGUGCUGGGGUUUCUUUUAUCACCUUAACAGGGCUAGUGUCAUCUGGUAAAAUGGAAGGCUCAACUGAGAAAAUGUCUCCAUCACAUAGACCUACCUACAGUCAAGUCUGUGGAGAAUUUUCUCAAGUGAUUGAUGCGGGAGUGCCGGGAUCACUGUGGACAGGGCUAUCCAUGGACAGGUGGUCCUGGGUUAGGUAAGAUGGCAAACUGAGGGACCCGUGAGAAGCAAGCCAGGAAGCAGUGCUCCUCCAUGGGCUCCGCUUCAGUUUCUGCCUCCAGGUUCCCACUUUGGAUUGCUUCAGCGAUGGAAAGUAUAAGCCUUUCCUUCCCUAGCUGCUUCUGAUGUCUUGGGACAGCAAAAGAAAAGAAAACUAGGACAUCUGUAUUGUUAGUUAUUGGACCAAUUAGCUGAAACGAUGCGCGUGUUGCUUAAGAUGGUUUUUCUAUUCUGUACCAGAUCUGAUCACGGCCCCACACUAGCCGAGAUCAGCAACAUUGACUUCUAUUUCCUGUGAUCAAAAGUUAGCAUUUAUUAUGUAUCUGCAUAUAAUUUAUAUAUUAAAGCUUUAAUCAAUACUGUUAAAGC